AAGGAUUUAAGUUAUUUAAACUUUUAACCUUCAAAGUUGAAAAAAGGUGUUACCUAAGCCUUA
rnacentral:tRNA from 1 species